rnacentral:tRNA from 1 species
GGGUAGGUGGCGGAGCAGCUAACGCACUAGUCUGUAAAACUAGCGGCCACUGGCCUUCGCAGGUGCAAGUCCUGCCCUACCCACAA